rnacentral:tRNA from 1 species
UCCCUGGUGGCUCAGAGGUUAAAGCGUCUGCCUCCAAUGCGGGAGACCUGGGUUCGAUCCCUGGAUGGGGAA